UACGAAGGGGGCUAGCGUUGCUCGGAAUUAUUGGGCGUAAAGGGCGCGUAGGCGGACAGUUUAGUCAGAGGUGAAAGCCCAGGGCUCAACCUUGGAAUUGCCUUUGAUACUGGCUGUCUUGAGUUCGGGAGAGGUGAGUGGAAUGCCGAGUGUAGAGGUGAAAUUCGUAGAUAUUCGGAAGAACACCAGUGGCGAAGGCGACUUACUGGACACAUAUUGACGCUGAGGUGCGAAAGCGUGGGGAGCAAACAGG
rnacentral:rRNA from 1 species